rnacentral:tRNA from 1 species
GACACGAUGGCCGAGUGGUCUAAGGCGCCAGAUUUAAGUUACUUGAAUAGAGUUCCCUGGUACGGAAACGUGCGUGGGUUCGAAACCCACUCGUGUCA